UACAGAGGGGGCAAGCGUUAUUCGGAAUUAUUGGGCGUAAAGGGCGCGUAGGCGGCCUGGCAAGUGGAAGGUGAAAUCCCUCGGCUUAACCGAGGAACUGCCCUCCAAACUGCUUGGCUUGAGUCCGGGAGAGGUGAGUGGAAUUCCCAGUGUAGCGGUGAAAUGCGUAGAUAUUGGGAGGAACAUCCAGUGGCGAAGGCGGCUCACUGGCUCGGUACUGACGCUGAGGUGCGAAAGCGUGGGGAGCAAACAGG
rnacentral:rRNA from 1 species